GCGAUUUAUGCAAAAGAAGCCCAUUUUUCCACGCUGAUUUGCUUUUGUCCAACACAUCUGCGGAGUGUGUACGGUGGACAGGCCCUCGGGAGGUGAUCUUGUGAACACUUGCUGAGGAUCCUUGAUGCCGAGUGCAGGAUGUUUCCUACCAGUUUGAAGCCAUGUCUGAAGGGUUCCGAGGUGGAAUGUUCUGCGCUGGCCGAUGGCGGCGUCGGGGGGGGGGGG